rnacentral:rRNA from 1 species
AUUGAACGCUGGCGGCAUGCUUUACACAUGCAAGUCGAACGGUAACAGGGUGCUUGCACCGCUGACGAGUGGCGAACGGGUGAGUAAUGCGUCGGAACGUGCCGAGUAGUGGGGGAUAACGCAGCGAAAGUUGUGCUAAUACCGCAUACGUACUGAGGUAGAAAGUGGGGGACCUUCGGGCCUCACGCUAUUCGAGCGGCCGACGUCUGAUUAGCUAGUAGGUGAGGUAAAGGCUCACCUAGGCGACGAUCAGUAGCGAGUCUGAGAGGAUGAUCCGCCACACUUGGACUGAGACACGGCCCAGACUCCUACGGGAGGCAGCAGUGGGGAAUUGUGGACAAUGGGCGAAAGCCUGAUCCAGCCAUGCCGCGUGUCUGAAGAAGGCCUUCGGGUUGUAAAGGACUUUUGUCAGGGAGGAAAUCCCUAGUGCUAAUAACACUGGGGGAUGACAGUACCUGAAGAAUAAGCACCGGCUAACUACGUGCCAGCCGCCGCAGUAA